rnacentral:rRNA from 1 species
AACGAACGCUGGCGGCAUGCCUAACACAUGCAAGUCGAACGAGACCUUCGGGUCUAGUGGCGCACGGGUGCGUAACGCGUGGGAACCUGCCCUUACGUUCGGAAUAACUCCCCGAAAGAGGUGCUAAUACCGGAUAAUGUCUUCGGACCAAAGAUUUAUCGCCUUUGGAUGGGCCCGCGUUGGAUUAGCUAGUUGGUAGGGUAAAAGCCUACCAAGGCGACGAUCCAUAGCUGGUCUGAGAGGAUGAUCAGCCACACUGGGACUGAGACACGGCCCAGACUCCUACGGGAGGCAGCAGUGGGGAAUAUUGGACAAUGGGCGAAAGCCUGAUCCAGCAAUGCCGCGUGAGUGAUGAAGGCCUUAGGGUUGUAAAGCUCUUUUACCCGGGAUGAUAAUGACAGUACCGGGAGAAUAAGCUCCGGCUAACUCCGUG